rnacentral:rRNA from 1 species
CCUACGGGUGGCUGCAGUGAGGAAUAUUGGUCAAUGGACGAGAGUCUGAACCAGCCAAGUAGCGUGAAGGAUGACUGCCCUAUGGGUUGUAAACUUCUUUUAUAUGGGAAUAAAACGUUCCACGUGUGGGAUUUUGUAUGUACCAUAUGAAUAAGGAUCGGCUAACUCCGUGCCAGCAGCCGCGGUAAUACGGAGGAUCCGAGCGUUAUCCGGAUUUAUUGGGUUUAAAGGGAGCGUAGGUGGAUUGUUAAGUCAGUUGUGAAAGUUUGCGGCUCAACCGUAAAAUUGCAGUCGAAACUGGCAGUCUUGAGUACAGUAGAGGUGUGCGGAAUUCGUGGUGUAGCGGUGAAAUGCUUAGAUAUCACGAAGAACUCCGAUUGCGAAGGCAGUUCACUGGACUGCAACUGACACUGAGGCUCGAAAGUGUGGGUAUCAAACAGGAUUAGAUACCCUUGUAGUC